AUUGAACGCUGGCGGCAGGCCUAACACAUGCAAGUCGAGCGGAGCGGCGGACGGGUGAUUAAUGCCUAGGAAUCUGCCUGUUAGUGGGGUAUAACGUCCGGCAACGGGCGCUAAUACCGCAUACUAGCAGAUCACUCUCGGUGGGAUUAGUUAGUUGGUGGGGUAAAGGCCUACCAAGGCGACGAUCCGUAACUGGUCUGAGAGGAUGAUCAGUCACACUGGAACUGAGACACGGUCCAGACUCCUACGGGAGGCAGCAGUGGGGAAGAUUGGACAAUGGGCGAAAGCCUGAUCCAGCCAUGCCGGGUGUGUGAAGAAGGUCUUCGGAUUGUAAAGCACUUUAAGUUGGGAGGCGUUACCAACAGAAUAAGCACCGGCUAACUUCGUGCCAGCAGCCGCGGUAAUUC
rnacentral:rRNA from 1 species